rnacentral:rRNA from 1 species
AUACGGAGGAUGCGAGCGUUAUCCGGAUUUAUUGGGUUUAAAGGGAGCGUAGGCGGGAGCUUAAGUCAGCGGUUAAAUGGUGCGGCUCAACCGUGCCCUGCCGAUGAAACUGGGUUUCUUGAGAGUGCAAGAGGCGGAUGGAAGUCAUGGUGUAGCGGUGAAAUGCUUAGAUAUCAUGAAGAACUCCGAUUGCGAAGGCAGUCCGCUGGGGCACGUCUGACGCUGAUGCUCGAAGGUGCGGGAAUCAAACAGGAUUAGAUACCCUGGUAGUCCGCACGGUAAACGAUGAUUACCCGCUGUCGGCGGCAGACAGUCGGCGGCCAAGCGAAAGCGAUAAGUAAUCCACCUGGGGAGUACGCCGGCAACGGUGGAACUCAAAUGAAUUGACGGGG